rnacentral:rRNA from 1 species
GUGGGGAAUCUUGCGCAAUGGACGAAAGUCUGACGCAGCGAUGCCGCGUGCGGGAUGAAGGCCCUCGGGUUGUAAACCGCUUUCAGCAGGGACGAAAUUGACGGUACCUGCAGAAGAAGCCCCGGCCAACUACGUGCCAGCAGCCGCGGUAAUACGUAGGGGGCGAGCGUUGUCCGGAUUUAUUGGGCGUAAAGAGCUCGUAGGCGGUUCGAUAAGUCGGAUGUGAAAUCUCCACGCUCAACGUGGAGGGGCCAUUCGAUACUGUCGUGACUCGAGUCCGGUAGGGGAGUGUGGAAUUCCCGGUGUAGCGGUGAAAUGCGCAGAGAUCGGGAGGAACACCCGUAGCGAAGGCGGCACUCUGGGCCGGUACUGACGCUGAGGAGCGAAAGCGUGGGGAGCAAACAGGAUUAGAAACCCGAGUAGUCC